CAAUAGCGUAUAUUAAAGUUGUUGCAGUUAAAAAGCUCGUAGUUGAAUUUGUGGCGGGAGUGACCGGUCUGUUCCCGGAAACGGGGCAUGCACUUGUGUUCACGUUCCCGCCAUCCUUGGGAGGGUGCGUGCCUGGCAUUAGUUUGUCGGGUCGUGGAAUCCCAUCGUUUACUGUGAAAAAAUUAGAGUGUUUAAGGCAGGCGUUGUCUGUUGUGAAUACAUUAGCAUGGAAUAAUAAGAUAGGACUUUGUGUGCUAUUUUGUUGGUGUCAAGCACCAAGGUAAUGAUUAACAGGGAUAGUUGGGGAUAUUCAUAUUGAAAUGUCAGAGGUGAAAUUCUUGGAUUAUUUCAAGAUGAACUGAUGCGAAAGCGUUUAUCAAGGAUGUUUNCAUUAA
rnacentral:rRNA from 1 species